UUGAUCCUGGCUCAGAAUCAACGCUGGCGGCGUGCCUAACACAUGCAAGUCGAACGCGAAAGCCCGCAAGGGUAAGUAGAGUGGCGCACGGGUGAGUAAUACGUGGACAACCUGCCUUCGAGUGGGGAAUAACCUUCCGAAAGGAGGGCUAAUACCGCAUAACACCUUGGGACACAAGUUCUGGGGUUGAAAAGAGCAAUUUGCUCGAAGAGGGGUCCGCGCCUGAUUAGCUAGUUGGUGGGGUAACGGUUCACCAAGGCUUCGAUCAGUAGCCGUCCUGAGAGGGAGCACGGCCACACUGGAACUGAGACACGGUCCAGACUCCUACGGGAGGCAGCAGUGGGGAAUUUUUGGCAAUGGGCGCAAGCCUGACCAAGCAACGCCGCGUGGGUGAUGAAGUAUCUUGGUACGUAAAACCCUUUCGGCAGGGACGAACCUAAUGACGGUACUUGCGGAAGAAGCCCCGGCUAACUCCGUGCCAGCAGCCGCGGUAAUAAGGU
rnacentral:rRNA from 1 species